rnacentral:rRNA from 1 species
GAUGAACGCUGGCGGCGUGCCUAAUACAUGCAAGUCGAACGAGGUGCUUUUUGUAGCAAUACGAGGAGUAUCCUAGUGGCGAACGGGUGAGUAACGCGUGGGUGACCUACCCCAAAGUGUGGAAUAACAGUCCGAAAGGAUUGCUAAUGCCGCAUGUGGUCUGCGAGUUUAGAAAUCGUUGACUAAAGGAGCAAUUCGCUUUGGGAGGGACCUGCGUCCCAUCAGCUAGUUGGUGAGGUAACGGCUCACCAAGGCUACGACGGGUAGGGGACCUGAGAGGGUGGCCCCCCACAAUGGAACUGAAACACGGUCCAUACACCUACGGGUGGCAGCAGUAGGGAAUAUUGCACAAUGGGCGAAAGCCUGAUGCAGCAACGCCGCGUGCGCGAUGAAGGUCUUCGGAUCGUAAAGCGCUUUUCUGAGAGAUGAGAAAGGACAGUAUCUCAGGAAUAAGUCUCGGCUAACUACGUGCCAGCAG